AGAGUUUGAUCCUGGCUCAGGAUGAACGCUGGCGGCGUGCCUAAUACAUGCAAGUCGAACGCACAGCGAAAGGUGCUUGCACCUUUCAAGUGAGUGGCGAACGGGCGAGUAACACGUGGAUAACCUACCUCAAGGUUGGGGAUAACAUUUGGAAACAGAUGCUAAUACCGAAUAAAACUUCGUAUCGCAUGAUACAAGGUUAAAAGGCGCUACGGCGUCACCUAGAGAUGGAUCCGCGGUGCAUUAGUUAGUUGGUGGGGUAAAGGCCUACCAAGACAAUGAUGCAUAGCCGAGUUGAGAGACUGAUCGGCCACAUUGGGACUGAGACACGGCCCAAACUCCUACGGGAGGCUGCAGUAGGGAAUCUUCCACAAUGGGCGAAAGCCUGAUGGAGCAACGCCGCGUGUGUGAUGAAGGCUUUCGGGUCGUAAAGCACUGUUGUAUGGGAAGAACAGCUAGAGUAGGGAAUGACUUUAGUUUGACGGUACCAUACCAGAAAGGGACGGCUAAAUACGUGCCAGCAGCCGCGGUAAUACUUAUGUCCCGAGCGUUAUCCGGAUUUAUUGGGCUUUAAGCGAGCGCAGACGGUUGAUUAAGUCUGAUGUGAAAGCCCGGAGCUCAACUCCGGAAAGGCAUUGGAAACUGGUCAACUUGAGUGCAGUAGAGGUAAGUGGAACUCCAUGUGUAGCGGUGGAAUGCGUAGAUAUAUGGAAGAACACCAGCGGCGAAGGCGGCUUACUGGACUGUAACUGACGUUGAGGCUCGAAAGUGUGGGUAGCAAACAGGAUUAGAUACCCUGGUAGUCCACACCGUAAACGAUGAACACUAGGUGUUAGGAGGUUUCCGCCUCUUAGUGCCGAAGCUAACGCAUUAAGUGUUCCGCCUGGGGAGUACGACCGCAAGGUUGAAACUCAAAGGAAUUGACGGGGACCCGCACAAGCGGUGGAGCAUGUGGUUUUAUUCGAAGCAACGCGAAGAACCUUACCAGGUCUUGACAUCCUUUGAAGCUUUUAGAGAUAGAAGUGUUCUCUUCGGAGACAAAGUGACAGGUGGUGCAUGGUCGUCGUCAGCUCGUGUCGUGAGAUGUUGGGUUAAGUCCCGCAACGAGCGCAACCCUUAUUGUUAGUUGCCAGCAUUCAGAUGGGCACUCUAGCGAGACUGCCGGUGACAAACCGGAGGAAGGCGGGGACGACGUCAGAUCAUCAUGCCCCUUAUGACCUGGGCUACACACGUGCUACAAUGGCGUAUACAACGAGUUGCCAACCUGUGAAGGUGAGCUAAUCUCUUAAAGUACGUCUCAGUUCGGACUGCAGUCUGCAACUCGACUGCACGAAGUCGGAAUCGCUAGUAAUCGCGGAUCAGCACGCCGCGGUGAAUACGUUCCCGGGUCUUGCACUAACGGCCCGUCA
rnacentral:rRNA from 1 species